CCCAAAGAACCAGCAGUACCUGUACGGGUCAACUCCUCUAAAGGUUGAUGUGAUUUAAGGUUUUAAGAGUUUUCUUUUGUCGUUUUAGCUUCAUGGAAAUCAGCAGCUGCUGCAACAAUCACAUGUACUGCUUUGCUUUUUGUCUUUAUCCCUGCCUUCAUUUGGAUCAGAAAGAACAGAUGUGUCUCUAAGCAAGAGGAGAAGAGACCGGCCAACAGAAGUCAGGUAAGAAAGAUUUACUUUAUUACUUUAUAUUAGUGAGUCGACACAGAGAUGUGAAGUUGAUCUAUAUGUGUCUAGCAGAAAUAACUUAGAGAUGAACUUCCUAGUCAAAGAGGUUUGGACAGAUUCAGAUCAUUAUAUUCCAGCAGACAGACACAUAAACAUGAGUUGAAGUCCAGAUCUGAGUUUUCUAAAUCUUCUUAUCCUGCAGGUCAACAUGAGUCCAGACAUCAACGGUCCAUCAGCAGAAGCAGAAUCAGCAGAAGAGCAGCUUGAGCUUCAUUACAGCAGCAUUUACUUCUCUGAGAAACAGGAAGACUGUCUGUACUCCAACAUCAGAAACUCCAAACCCAGACAGAGUCCAGAGGACACCACGGUUGAAUAUUCUGCAGUCAGAUUCAAGAAAUCUGCUCGAGUGGAAAAAACAUCAGGAGCUGAAAGUUCAGAGGAUUUUGCUCUUUACAGCACCGUCAACAAAUGUCUUCAGAGCAAAACUGAACUCUCAUCCUGAUGAAAGAAAUCAGAUUUAUCUUCACUGUCCUCUGUUAUGGUUCAGCUUGUCAGGAUGUAAAGUACAAUCUUGUCUACACGUUUUCUUUUAGAGUGAAUGACAUGCAACAGUUUUACAGAUAACAGCAGAUGGGAGUCCUCUAAAGUGGUUCUGGAGGCUGAACCUCGGGCUAUACUUUGCUUCAUUUAGAAUGAAAAAAGGAAUAAAUGGAUCAUAGCAACCAAAUUAAUGUGAGCGUUACUAAAAGAGUAAGUGUCUUAUUAAAGAUAAUAAUGUAGGUUUAUUUUUUAAAUUAGAAACACUCCCAGUUAAUCCUGAACUUGUUAACAUCGUCUGGACAGUUGUCUCUAAUUCAGUUUUAAUAAUAAAGCUCGAUAUCACAAUCCAGUUGUCUCAAACUUGACAACAGCAAUUGUCCAAAAACACGAAGUCAGUCGUAAAAUAUAAACUAUAGAUGAUUGCUAAACUAAACCUUUGACCCUCCUUCAAGGUAAAGAAAAACUCCUAUAAAAACAGAUUCUAGAUUUUUUAAAAAAUGGCAAAAUGUCAGUGAUGUCAACAUGAGGAGAGAUCCUCUAUCAGGACAGAUAGGCAAUGUACCAGGUCCAUUAAAGAAUAAUUAUCUUAUCUAACUCUACAACUAUGUAUUUGAAUAAUGGAGCUAAUAGGCUUCAUCCAGGUUGGGGGGUCCACGGCCAAGUUCAGUAGUACAGUAAAGGAAAUAUGUUCAAGAGGCGUUUUUGUAAAAAAUGUAAAUAAAUAUAGGUUUAUUUAUAUCUAGAUAAAGUCAAAGCAGGGGUGGGGUUAUGUAAAUUCACUUCCUAUCACAUCAAGUAAUUUAUUUGACUGAAUGACGUGAUUUAUUUUAAGCAAUUAGAUAAUAAUGCAUUAAAUAACAUAUCACAUAAUAAAUUCAGAUUAUCAUCACCAGAAAAAUCCCAGCAUCAGAAAUCCAGACAAUAACAGAUGAUUAAUAAUCAUCUGAAUAUAUUCCAGAACCCCAACACCGAUCAAUGCAGAAGAUCCUCCUGAUGAUGAUGAUCCGAGCAUUAGUAGCACCAGGCUGAGCCCGGAGUUGUAGUUGAAGUCCCGUGAGAAUCACAUUAUUCAUCCGUACUGGUUGAUCCACGUCAUGCAUUCUUCUCUCCAGAAGAUCUUGGCGAUUAUCUCGUUAUCUAUAACAUGCUUUUUCCUGUUGGAAAUCUUCUAAGAGUUGUAGCAGCAGUGAUAGCUUAGCUUCAAGCUUCAACAGUGCAGAUAUCUUAGCAUACAUAAUCAUCAGCAGAGUUAGUUUAGCUUGAAUAUAAGCGAGCGCAAUUUUGAGCUCCAUCAAAUCAGCCUCAACAUUUUUCUUCGGUGCAGUGUCCAACUCUCCUCAUUGCAGAAGCUGUUUAGCAGUUGCUUGGUGAUUAAAGUCGCUUGAGAGCAACUUAAAAAACUUUCAA
ensembl:lncRNA